AGGUGUGGAUAGCGGAGAAAUUCCAAUCGAACCCGGAGAUAGCUGGUUCUCCUCGAAAUAGCUUUAGGGCUAGCCUCGUUUUAGUCUGGUGGAGGUAGAGCACUGAAUUCCCAAGGGGGCGUCAAAGCUUACUAAGGGAUAUCAAACUCCGAAUGCCAUACAGAUGAUGAACGGGAGUCAGACUAUACGAGAUAAGUUGGAUAGUCAAAAGGGAAAGAGCCCAGACCUGCAGCUAAGGUCCCAAAGUGCAUGUUAAGUGGAAAAGGAUGUGGGAUCUCUAAGACAACUAGGAUGUUGGCUCAGAAGCAGCCAUUCAUUCAAAGAGUGCGUAACAGCUCACUAGUCGAGAGGUCCUGCGCCGAAAAUGUCCGGGGCUAAAACAUGCCACCGAAGCUCAGGAAUGACAUAGUCAUUGGUAGAGGAGCAUUCUUAACGCGAAGAAGCAGUACCGUAAGGAGCUGUGGAGUGCUAAGAAGAGAGAAUGCCGGAAUGAGUAGCGAGAACAAGGUGAGAAUCCUUGUGGCCGAAUAUCCAAGGUCUCCAGGGUAAAGCUGAUCUGCCCUGGGAAAGUCGGGACCUAAGGUCAGGCUGAAAAGCGUAGCCGAUGGACAACAGGUUGAUAUUCCUGUACCGCAUGGUAACAGAACUGUGGGGACACGGGAGGGAAACAUGGGCCGGAAAUGGAAAGUCCGGUACAAACGGGGUAGUCGCACAGCAGGCAAAUCCGCUGUGCAUAAGACGAAGCCGUGAUGUGGAGCGAAAUGAAGUAGCGAAGCAUGUGCCCCCUCCUGUCGAGAAAAGCCGCUAUUGUUUGCCAUGCGCCCGUACCGUAAACCGACACAGGUGGAUGAGGAGAGAAUCCUAAGGCCGGCGGGAGAAGCAUUGUCAAGGAACUCGGCAAAAUGACCCCGUAACUUCGGGAGAAGGGGUGCCCACGCAAGUGGGCCGCAGAGAAUAGGCUCAAGCAACUGUUUAGCAAAAACACAGGUCUAUGCGAAACCGUAAGGUGAUGUAUAUGGGCUGACGCCUGCCCGGUGCUGGAAGGUUAAGAGGAGAGGUUAGCGCAAGCGAAGCUUUGAAUCCAAGCCCCAGUAAACGGCGGCCGUAACUAUAACGGUCCUAAGGUAGCGAAAUUCCUUGUCGGGUAAGUUCCGACCCGC
rnacentral:rRNA from 1 species